rnacentral:misc_RNA from 1 species
UGGUCCCAUAAGUCAUUCAACUGUUU